rnacentral:rRNA from 1 species
GAAGUGGGCGGCGUGCUAAUACAUGCAAGUCGAGCGGACCUUUUAAAAGCUUGCUUUUGAAAGGUCAGCGGCGGACGGGUGAGUAACACGUGGGCAACCUGCCUGUAAGACUGGGAUAACUUCGGGAAACCGGAGCUAAUACCGGAUAAUAUAAGGAACCUCCUGGUUCUUUAUUGAAAGAUGGUUUCGGCUAUCACUUACAGAUGGGCCCGCGGCGCAUUAGCUAGUUGGUGAGGUAACGGCUCACCAAGGCGACGAUGCGUAGCCGACCUGAGAGGGUGAUCGGCCACACUGGGACUGAGACACGGCCCAGACUCCUACGGGAGGCAGCAGUAGGGAAUCUUCCACAAUGGACGAAAGUCUGAUGGAGCAACGCCGCGUGAGCGAUGAAGGCCUUCGGGUCGUAAAGCUCUGUUGUUAGGGAAGAACAAGUGCGAGAGUAACUGCUCGCACCUUGACGGUACCUAACCAGAAAGCCACGGCUAACUACGUGCCAGCAGCCGCGGUAAUACGUAGGUGGCAAGCGUUGUCCGGAAUUAUUGGGCGUAAAGCGCGCGCAGGUGGUCCUUUAAGUCUGAUGUGAAAGCCCACGGCUCAACCGUGGAGGGUCAUUGGAAACUGGGGGACUUGAGUGCAGAAGAGGAAAGUGGAAAUUCCAAGUGUAGCGGUGAAAUGCGUAGAGAUUUGGGAGGAACACCAGUGGCGAAAGCGACUUUCUGGUCUGUAACUGACACUGAGGCGCGAAAGCGUGGGGAGCAAACAGGAUUAGAUACCCUGGUAGUCCACGCCGUAAACGAUGAGUGCUAAGUGUUAGAGGGUUUCCGCCCCUUUAGUGCUGCAGCUAACGCAUUAAGCACUCCGCCUGGGGGAGUACGGUCGCAGACUGAAACUCAAGGAUGACGGGGGCCCGCACAAGCGGUGGGAGCAUGGUGGUUAUUCGAGCACGCGAGGAUCUUACAGGUCCUGACAUCUCUGACACUCUAGAGAUAGGAACGUUCCCAUCCGGGGGACAGACUGACAGGUGGGUCCAUGGAUGUCGUCCAGCUCGGUCUGAAUGGUAGGCUAGUCCGGACGAGGGCAA